GACAGAGGGUGCGAGCGUUAAUCGGAAUUACUGGGCGUAAAGCGCACGUAGUCGGCUUUGCAAGUCUGAUGUGAAAGCCCGGGGCUCACCCCCGGAAGUGCAUUGGAAACUGGUGGACUCGAGUCCCGGAGAGGAGAGUGGAAUUCCUGGUGUAGAGGUGAAAUUCGUAGAUAUCGAGAGGAACACCGGUGGCGAAGGCGGCCUUCUGGACAGUGACUGACGCUGAGACGCGAAAGCGUGGGGAGCAAACAGG
rnacentral:rRNA from 1 species